rnacentral:rRNA from 1 species
ACUCCUACUGGAGGCAGCAGUGGGGAAUUUUGGACAAUGGGGGCAACCCUGAUCCAGCAAUGCCGCGUGAGUGAAGAAGGCCUUCGGGUUGUAAAGCUCUUUUGUCAGGGAAGAAACAGCAGCUCUAACACAGUUUGCGAAUGACGGUACCUGAAGAAUAAGCACCGGCUAACUACGUGCCAGCAGCCGCGGUAAUAC